rnacentral:hammerhead_ribozyme from 1 species
AUCUGGCUAACAAGUCCCAAAUAGGACGAAACGUACGUUCUGGAU